UUCUAUGUCUACACAUUUCGCUGCUUCACUCCUCUGGGCUAAACCCAGCGCCGCCGCUCCCAUAACGCGCAUCGCUCUGCCGUGAUACGCGCGGAUCGCGCACACAGCUCCAUUCACCUUGGCAAAGAAUGUUCAUUUAAAAAAAUGUGACACAUUUGUGGUCGCGGGACUGCAUUCAUUUUCCACUGUGGAAUCUCCAUGGCUCAGGACAAGACCCUGCAGCCUGGUGGUGGAUGAAGAACUUUCAGACCUGUGUGUGUAGGACUCAUCGACACCAUCUGAGAGUUCGAGAGGUUUUCUCCUGUGCAGGACAUGUAAUUAGUCAGGAGAGGUGUCGUAUUUAGCAAAAGAAGGCAAAUAUGCUCAUAUUUCUGAAAAAGAAUAGCU